CACCAGCAGCUCAAGUGGUGAUCACGUUUACUGGGUUUAAAGCGUGCGUAGUCGGUUCGGCCAGUUUUCUGUGAAACCCUGCGGCUCAACUGUAGGGAUUGCAGAAAAUACUACCGAGCUCGAGACCGGGGCAGGAGUGGGGUAUUCUGGGGGGUAGCGGUGAAAUGCUAUAAUCCCUGGAAGACCACCAGUAGCGAAGGCGCCACUCUGGAACGGGUCUGACGAUGAGGUACGAGAGCUAGGGGAGCGAACAGGAUUAGAUACCCUGGUAGUCCUAGCCGUAAACGAUGCGGGUUUAGUGUUCCCCAAACCUCGUGUUCGGGGAGCGCUGAAGGGAAACCGUUAAACCCGCCACCUGGGGAGUACGGUCGCAAGGCUGAAACUUAAAGGAAUUGGCGGGGGAACACCACAAGGGGUGGAUGCUGCGGUUC
rnacentral:rRNA from 1 species